AAAGCAGGCUAGACGAUCGCGGUUCGAUUUCGAAACGAGGAAAGUCCGGGCUUCAUAGGGCAGGGAUGCCGGCUAACGGCCGGUGGAGGUGACUCCCAGGAUAGUGCAACAGAAAUAUACCGCCGGGUUUUCCCGGCAAGGGUGAAAAGGCAGUGUAAGAGACUACCGUAUCCGUGGUAACAUGGAUAGCCAUGUAAACCCCAUCCGAAGCAAGACUAGAACGGAACAAUGACGUGGCCCGCCAGUUCCAGGUUAGUCGCUUGAGACGACUGGCAACGGUCGUCCUAGAUAGAUGAUCGUCCAAGACAUAACCCGGCUUACAGGCUUGCUUUUCCU
rnacentral:RNase_P_RNA from 1 species